rfam:Aedes albopictus isolate Foshan contig145946, whole genome shotgun sequence.
AGCUCGGCAGCUUUGUUGGUAGAGCACUUGUCUAGCGUAUAAGGGUCGUGAGUUCAAAUCACACCUGAGCUG